GAUGAAGAACGUAGCGAAAUGCGAUAAGUAAUGUGAAUUGCAGAAUCCAGUGAAUCAUCGAAUCUUUGAACGCACAUUGCGCCCGCCAGCAUUCUGGCGGGCAUGCCUGUUCGAGCGUCAUUUCAACCCUCGACCUCCCCUUGGGGAGGUCGGCGUUGGGGACCGGCAGCACACCGCCGGCCCUGAAAUGGAGUGGCGGCCCGUCUGCGGCGACCUCUGCGUAGUAAUACAGCUCGCACCGGAACCCCGACGCGGCCACGCCGUAAAACACCCAACUUCUGAACGUUGACCUCGAAUCAGGUAGGACUACCCGCUGAACUUGAGCAUAUCAAUAAGCGGAGGA
rnacentral:misc_RNA from 1 species